UACGGGGGGAGCAAGCGUUGUUCGGAAUCACUGGGCGUAAAGGGAGUCUAGGCGGUUUGGUAAGUGGGAUGUGAAAUGCCCGGGCUCACCCCGGGACCUGCAUCCCAAACUGCUGAGCUUGAGUACAGGAGAGGGUGGGGGAAUUCCAGGUGUAGCGGUGAAAUGCGUAGAUAUCUGGAGGAACACCGGUGGCGAAGGCGGCAUCCUGGACCAUUACUGACACUGAUAAGCGAAAGCCAGGGGAGCAAACGGG
rnacentral:rRNA from 1 species